rnacentral:rRNA from 1 species
AUUGAACGCUGGCGGCAGGCCUAACACAUGCAAGUCGAGCGAGCGGCGGACGGGUGAGUAAUGUCUGGGAAACUGCCUGAUGGAGGGGGAUAACUACUGGAAACGGUAGCUAAUACCGCAUACCAUCAGAUGUGCCCAGAUGGGAUUAGCUAGUAGGUGGGGUAACGGCUCACCUAGGCGAAGAUCCCUAGCUGGUAUGAGAGGAUGACCAGCCACACUGGAACUGAGACACGUUCCAGCCUCCUACGGGCGGCAGCAGUGGGGAAUCUUGCACAAUGGGCGCAAGCCUGAUUCAGCCAUGCCGCGUGUGUGAAGAAGGCCUUCGGUUUGUACAGCCCUUUCCGCAGGGAGGCGUUACCCGCAGAAGAAGCACCGGCUAACUCCGUGCCAGCAGCCGCGGUAAUUC